UACAGAGGUCUCAAGCGUUGUUCGGAUUCAUUGGGCGUAAAGGGUGCGUAGGCGGCGCGGUAAGUCGGGUGUGAAAUCUUGGAGCUUAACUCCGAAACUGCAUUCGAUACUGCCGUGCUUGAGGACUGGAGAGGAGACUGGAAUUUACGGUGUAGCGGUGAAAUGCGUAGAUAUCGUAAGGAAGACCAGUGGCGAAGGCGGGUCUCUGGACAGUUCCUGACGCUGAGGCACGAAGGCCAGGGGAGCAAAAGGG
rnacentral:rRNA from 1 species